UGGGGAAUAUUGGACAAUGGGCGCAAGCCUGAUCCAGCCAUGCCGCGUGAGUGAUGAAGGCCCUAGGGUUGUAAAGCUCUUUCACCGGUGAAGAUAAUGACGGUAACCGGAGAAGAAGCCCCGGCUAACUUCGUGCCAGCAGCAGCGGUAAUACGAAGGGGGCUAGCGUUGUUCGGAUUUACUGGGCGUAAAGCGCACGUAGGCGGACUUUUAAGUCAGGGGUGAAAUCCCGGGGCUCAACCCCGGAACUGCCUUUGAUACUGGAAGUCUUGAGUAUGGUAGAGGUGAGUGGAAUUCCGAGUGUAGAGGUGAAAUUCGUAGAUAUUCGGAGGAACACCAGUGGCGAAGGCGGCUCACUGGACCAUUACUGACGCUGAGGUGCGAAAGCGUGGGGAGCAAACAGG
rnacentral:rRNA from 1 species